UACGGGGGGAGCAAGCGUUGUUCGGAUUUACUGGGCGUAAAGCGUGCGCAGGCGGCUAUGCAAGACAGAUGUGAAAUCCCCGGGCUUAACCUGGGAACUGCAUUUGUGACUGUAUGGCUAGAAUACGGUAGAGGGGGAUGGAAUUCCGCGUGUAGCAGUGAAAUGCGUAGAUAUGCGGAGGAACACCGAUGGCGAAGGCAAUCCCCUGGACCUGUACUGACGCUCAUGCACGAAAGCGUGGGGAGCAAACAGG
rnacentral:rRNA from 1 species